rnacentral:pre_miRNA from 1 species
UUAGUACUCCCUCCGUCCGAAAAAACUUGUCCCUCAAAUGGAUGUAUCUAGCACCAACUUGGUGCUAGAUACAUCCAUUUGAGGAACAAGCUUGGGACAAGCUUUUCCGGACGGAGGGAGUAUGCU